AUUGAACGCUGGCGGCAUGCCUUACACAUGCAAGUCGAACGGCAGCAUGGAGAGCUUGCUCUCUGAUGGCGAGUGGCGAACGGGUGAGUAAUGCAUCGGAACGUAUCGUGUAAUGGGGGAUAACGUAGCGAAAGUUACGCUAAUACCGCAUACGACCCGAGGGUGAAAGCAGGGGAUCGCAAGACCUUGCGUUAUGCGAGCGGCCGAUGUCAGAUUAGCUAGUUGGUGAGGUAAAGGCUCACCAAGGCGACGAUCUGUAGCGGGUCUGAGAGGAUGAUCCGCCACACUGGGACUGAGACACGGCCCAGACUCCUACGGGAGGCAGCAGUGGGGAAUUUUGGACAAUGGGGGCAACCCUGAUCCAGCCAUGCCGCGUGAGUGAAGAAGGCCUUCGGGUUGUAAAGCUCUUUCGGCCGGGAAGAAAUCGCACAGGCUAAUACUCUGUGUGGAUGACGGUACCGGCAUAAGAAGCACCGGCUAACUACGUGCCAGCCGCCGCGGUAA
rnacentral:rRNA from 1 species